CAAUAGCGUAUAUUAAAGUUGUUGCAGUUAAAAAGCUCGUAGUUGGAUUUCGAGACGGGCCAGUUGGUCCGCCGCAAGGUGUGUUACUGACUGGUCUGUUCUUCUUCGCAAAGACUGCGUGUGCUCUUCGUUGAGUGUGCGUAGGAUUUACGACGUUUACUUUGAAAAAAUUAGAGUGUUCAAAGCAGGCUAUCGCUUGAAUACAUGAGCAUGGAAUAAUGGAAUAGGACUUUGGUCCUAUUUUGUUGGUUUCUAGGACCGAAGUAAUGAUUAAGAGGGACAAUUGGGGGCAUCCGUAUUUCGUUGUCAGAGGUGAAAUUCUUGGAUUUACGAAAGACGAACAACUGCGAAAGCACUUGCCAAGAGUGUUUUCAUUAA
rnacentral:rRNA from 1 species